UUACAAUUAAAGGAUAUUUCUUGGAAUUCUGUGAACAGAAAUAUCUCUUAAUUGUUUGGA
rnacentral:pre_miRNA from 1 species